rnacentral:rRNA from 1 species
GUCCUAGCAGUAAACGGUGCACGCUUGGUGUGCGCGGGUUCGACCCCGUGCGCGCCGGAGCUAACGCGUUAAGCGUGCCGCCUGGGAAGUACGGUCGCAAGAUUAAAACUCAAAGAAAUUGACGGGACCCGCACAAGCGGUGGAGUAUGUGGCUUAAUUCGAUGCAACGCGAAGAACCUUACCUGGAUUUGACAUGCACUGUGUCGCCGAUGAAAGUCGGCUAGGUUAGCAAUAACCGCUUUGCACAGGUGCUGCAUGGCUGUCGU